rnacentral:rRNA from 1 species
UGCGCAGGCGGCCAGGUGUGUGAGGCGUGAAAGCCCGGGGCUUAACCCCGGAAUUGCACCUCAAACUACAUGGCUAGAGCAUUGGAGAGGGUAGCGGAAUUCACGGUGUAGCAGUGAAAUGCGUAGAUAUCGUGAGGAACACCAGAGGCGAAGGCGGCUACCUGGACAAUUGCUGACGCUCAGGCACGAAAGCGUGGGGAGCAAAAGGGAUUAGAUACCCCCUGUAGUCCACGCCCUAAACGGUGCACACUAGGUCUUGGCGGAUUCGACCCCCCCCAGGGCCCAAGCUAACGCGUUAAGUGUGCCGCCUGAGGACUACGGCCGCAAGGCUAAA